rnacentral:rRNA from 1 species
AUUGAACGCUGGCGGCAUGCCUUACACAUGCAAGUCGAACGGUAACAGGUCUUCGGAUGCUGACGAGUGGCGAACGGGUGAGUAAUACAUCGGAACGUGCCCGAUCGUGGGGGAUGACGGAGCGAAAGCUUUGCUAAUACCGCAUACGAUCUACGGAUGAAAGCAGGGGACCGCAAGGCCUUGCGCGGACGGAGCGGCCGAUGGCAGAUUCGGUAGUUGGUGGGAUAAAAGCUUACCAAGCCGACGAUCUGUAGCUGGUCUGAGAGGACGACCAGCAACUAUGGGACGGAGACACGGCCCAGACUCAUACGGGAGGCAGCAGUGGGGAAUUUUGGACGAUGGGCGCAAGCCUGAUCCAGCCAUGCCGGGUGCAGGAUGAAGGCCUUCGGGUUGUAAACUGCUUUUGUACGGAACGAAAAGACUCUUUCUAAUAAAGAGGGUCCAUGACGGUACCGUAAGAAUAAGCACCGGCUAACUACGUGCCAGCCGCCGCCGUAA